rnacentral:rRNA from 1 species
UAGAAUAAAUUUAUUAAUAAUUUAAUAAUAAAAAUAAUUUAAUUUUUAGUAUUUUUUAAAGAAAUAAUAUGUUUAAUUAUAGUAUAUAGUAUUGAAAAAGAAUGUUGAAAUAAUUGAAAAUAAUUUAUUAGAAAAGAAAUUUUUAAUUAAUGUACCUUUUGUAUCAGGGGUUAUUAAAUAAUUAAUAAUUAUUUUAUUAAUUUCGAAAUAAAAAGAUUUAAUUUAAUAUAAUUUUUAUUGUGGUAAAAUUAUUUUAAAUAUUAAAUUAGAAUUUAAAAGUUAAUCGGUUUUUAUUAUAUCUAAUUUUUUAAGAAAUAAAUUUAAUUUAGUUUAUAGUUUUUAUUUAAUUAUUUGUUAAAUUAAAUAAUAAAUUAUAAUUAAUAUAUUAAGGGAUAAGCUUUAAUAUAAAGUUAUAAAAUUAAUAAAGAUUUAAUUUAUAUAUUCUUAGAAAUAGAAAUUAUAGGUAAGUAUGUUAUAAUUUAAUAACUUAUAAAUUAUUAUUUAUUAAUUUUUAAUUGUUUUUAUUAAAAUAUUUAAUUUAAUUAUAAAAUUAAAUUAAUAAUGAUAGUAUUAGUAUAUAAUAUUUAUAUAUUAAAAUGUAUAAUGUAUAAAUGUUAAUAAUAUAAGUAUAAGGAAUUCGGCAAAUUUAGUGUUCACCUGUUUAUUAAAAACAUGUCUUUUAGAAUUAAAUUUAAAGUCUAAUCUGCCCACUGAUAAUUUUAAAGGGCCGCAGUAUAUUAACUGUGCAAAGGUAGCAUAAUCAUUAGUUUUUUAAUUGAAAGCUAGAAUGAAUGAUUGGAUGAAAUAUUUACUGUCUUAUAUUUAUUAAAGUAGAAUUUUAAUUUUUAAUUAAAAAGUUAAAAUAAAAUAAAAAGACGAGAAGACCCUAUAGAUCUUUAUAUGUUAAAUUAAUUAAUAAAAAUUAGUUAUUAUUUAAUUUUUAAUUAAUUAAUAUAUUAUAUUGGGGUAAUAAUAAAAUUUUAUAAAUUUUUAUUUUUUUUAUUCAAUUAUAAUUGUUUAUAAUGAUCCAAUAAUAUUGAUUAUAAAGUUAAGUUACCUUAGGGAUAACAGCGUAAUGAUUUUUGAGAGUUCUUAUCAAUAAAAUAGUUUGUGACCUCGAUGUUGAAUUAAAAUUUAUUUUAGGUGUAGGUGUUUAAAUAAUAAAGUCUGUUCGACUUUUAAUUUUUUACAUGAUUUGAGUUUAGACCGGCGUAAGCCAGGUCAGUUUCUAUCUUUUAUUAUAAAAAAUAUUUUAGUACGAAAGGAUUAAAUAUUUGAUUAAUUUAAUUUAUUAUAUAAAGAAAAUUUUUAAAUAUAAUAUAAA